AUACGUAGGGUGCGAGCGUUGUCCGGAAUUACUGGGCGUAAAGAGCUCGUAGGUGGUUUGUCGCGUCGUCUGUGAAAUUCCGGGGCUUAACUCCGGGCGUGCAGGCGAUACGUGCAUAACUUGAGUACUGUAGGGGAGACUGGAAUUCCUGGUGUAGCGGUGAAAUGCGCAGAUAUCAGGAGGAACACCGGUGGCGAAGGCGGGUCUCUGGGCAGUAACUGACGCUGAGGAGCGAAAGCAUGGGUAGCGAACAGGAUUAGAUACCCUGGUAGUCCAUGCCGUAAACGGUGGGCGCUAGGUGUAGGGGUCUUCCACGACUUCUGUGCCGUAGCUAACGCAUUAAGCGCCCCGCCUGGGGAGUACGGCCGCAAGGCUAAAACUCAAAUGAAUUGACGGGG
rnacentral:rRNA from 1 species